GUAAUGUGUUAUAUGACUCCAGGUAGUUGUCUAGUCAGAGUAAUGUUUUAUAUGACUCCAGGUAGUUAUCUAGUCUAGUCAGAGUAAUGUUUUAUAUGACUCCAGGUAGUUGUCUAGUCAGAGUAAUGUUUUAUAUGACUCCAGGUAGUUGUCUAGUCAGAGUAAUGUUUUAUAUGACUCCAGGUAGUUGUCUAGUCAGAGUAAUGUUUUAUAUGACUCCAGGUAGUUAUCUAGUCUAGUCAGAGUAAUGUUUUAUAUGACUCCAGGUAGUUGUCUAGUCUAGCCAGAGUAAUGUUUUAUAUGACUCCAG
rnacentral:lncRNA from 1 species